rnacentral:rRNA from 1 species
CUACACAUGCAGUCGAACGGUAAGGCCCCUUCGGGGGUACACGAGUGGCGAACGGGUGAGUAACACGUGAGCAACCUGCCCUUGACUCUGGAAUAACAGUUGGAAACAGCUGCUAAUACUGGAUAUUCAUCGUCUCCUUCCUGGGGGGUGGUGGAAAGCUCCGGCGGUCAGGGAUGGGCUCGCGGCCUAUCAGCUUGUUGGUGAGGUAAUGGCUCACCAAGGCUUCGACGGGUAGCCGGCCUGAGAGGGCGACCGGCCACACUGGGACUGAGAUACGGCCCAGACUCCUACGGGAGGCAGCAGUGGGGAAUAUUGCACAAUGGGCGCAAGCCUGAUGCWKYWWCGCCGCGUGCGGGAUGACGGCCUUCGGGUUGUAAACCGCUUUCAGUAGGGACGAAGGGUGACUGACGGUACCUACAGAAGAAGGACCGGCUAACUACGUGCCAGCAGCCGCGGUGAUACGUAGGGUCCGAGCGUUGUCCGGAAUUAUUGGGCGUAAAGGGCUUGUAGGCGGUCCGUCGCGUCAGAAGUGAAAACUCAGGGCUUAACCCUGAGCCUGCUUUUGAUACGGGCGGACUAGAGGGAUGCAGGGGAGAACGGAAUUCCUGGUGGAGCGGUGGAA